AAGAGACGUAUGAACUACAAGAACUGCUAAUUCUAACGACCAGAAAUAAAAUUUCUGGGUCUCUU
rnacentral:tRNA from 1 species